rnacentral:lncRNA from 1 species
AACUUCGACUUUAUUUCAUAUUUUUAUUAGGAGUUUACACGAUAGUGGCCUCAAGGAGUGUACCUGGAGAAUUACAAAUGAGAAGGGAAGAUGAAAUUAGCAACAGUAAUAAUUUCAACAGCAACAACCAAUCAGUAUAGGAGUAACUUGAACUCAGAGUAACCAAACAUUUCAACAGAAACAAGUAGCAACGACAAAUGACCCAUGACAACCAAUUAAACUUCAAAGAUGACUCGAAAUCAAACAACAAAACCCUUGAACUUUCAAAUCAAUAGACCUGAACUCAUAUUAUGAACCAGUAGCUAUUAGUUGGACUCUAUUUUAGAUGAAUGAAACAGUAGCAAUAUUUUGAUUUUUUGGACAGUUUUCUUGCUCCUUUUUUUUGGUUUUUGAAAGUUUGAAAUUCAAAUUUAGAUCAGAAACUAGUUGAUGCCUUUUUUUGGGGGAACUUGUGAGCUCAAAACUUUUUGGAAUUUUUAGGGGCUCCAAACUUGUAAAUGAAGGCAUUGGGGUUGCCUUUUAUAGGCAACAAAUAGGGUAAAAUGAUCUAGAUGACACUCAUAUUUUUUUCCUCCAUUAAUUUAAGAUUUU